rnacentral:rRNA from 1 species
AUUGAACGCUGGCGGCAGGCCUAACACAUGCAAGUCGAACGAGUGGCGGACGGGUGAGUAAUCUCUGGGAAACUGCCCGAUGAAGUGGGAUAACUACUGGAAACGGUAGCUAAUACCGCAUACCAUCGGAUGUGCACAGAUGGGAUUAGCUAGUAGGUGGGGUAAAGGCUCACCUAGGCGACGAUCCCUAGCUGGUCUGAGAGGAUGACCAGCAACACUGGAACUGAGACACGUGCCAGACUCCUACGGGAGGCAGCAGUGGGGAAUAUUGUACAAUGGGCGCAAGCCUGAUGCAGCCAUGCCGCGUGUAUGAAGAAGGCCUUCGGGUUGUAAAGUACUUGCAGCGGGGAGGCGUGACCCGCAGAAUAAGCACCGGCUAACUCCGUGCCAGCAGCCGCGGUAAUAC